AUGUCGCCGCCGUCGCUCUGCGCCGCCCCUCCCCGCGCCGGCCCGCCCCCGCCCCCUCUCCUGCGUCUCCGCCGCCGCGCGGCCUCCUCCGUCGCCGCGUCGCGCGCGGCGGCCCCGUCCGUCUCCGACGACCUGGUCCUCCGCAUCGCCGAGCAGCUGGAGGACGCGGCGCCGUCCUCGCCGCUGCUCGACCCGCUCCGCUCCGCCUCCGCGCUCUCCCUCCUCACCACGCCCUGGCCCACCCGCCGCUCCAACGAGGCCUUCCGCUUCACCGACAUCUCCUACCUCCGCUCCCUCCCCAUCUCGACGCCCACCCGGACCCCCGGCCUCGCGCCGCCGCCGCCCUCCUCCGACCUGGAGUCCCACGUCCUCUUCUCCGACGGCCGCCUCGUCGCCGCCUCCGGAGCCCACGUCUCCGCCCUCGCGGACAUGCCCCCUGGCCACGCCAGGGACCGGGCGGCCGCCGCCGUCGCCGCCUCCGCGCGGUUCUCCCACCGGGACAUCUUCUACGACUUCAACGCCGUCGGCGCGAGCGACGUUGCCGUGGUGUACGUGCCCGAGUGGGCCAAGAUGGCCGACGACCCCGUCCACAUCAUGUUCGCCUACAGCGGCAGCGACGGUGCCAGUCUGAUGAUGUCCAACCCCAGGGUUCUGGUGAUAGCAGAGAAGGGGGCGGAGGUCGCCAUCGUCGAGGAGCAUUUCGGGGCUGGGGAAGAGGACGGCGGCUGCUAUUGGGCCAACCCGGUGGUGGACAUCAUCGUGGAGGAGGGUGCUAGAGUGGUUCAUUCCUAUGUGCAGAGACAGUCACCCGCCGCGGCGCAUACCAAGUGGACCACCGUCCAGCAGAAUACAUCUAGUAAAUAUGAGUUCGUUGAGGUCAGCACUGGAGCAAGACUGAACAGGCACAAUCUUCACAUCCAGCAAUUGGGUCCUGAGACAGAAACAGAACUAUCAACGUUUCACUUAACAUCUCAGAAUAAGCAGAUUCAUGAUCUGCAUAGCAGACUGAUACUUGAUCACCCGAGAGGUUUUUCACGACAGCUCCACAAAUUGAUUGCUUGUGGUACAGGAAAUGGUAUUUUUGAUGGAAAUAUUCAAGUCAACAGGUAUGCACAGCAAACCGAUGCAGGGCAGCAAACCAAGUGUCUUCUGCUCUCACCAAAGGCUGUGGUGAAUGUGAAGCCAAACCUUCAGAUCAUUGCCGACGAUGUCAAAUGCACGCACGGAGCUGCCAUCAGUGGGGACCUCGACCCUAACGAGCUCUUCUACUUCCAGGCGAGAGGCGUCGACGCCAAAACGGCGACCGAUGCCCUGCUUUUCUCGUUCGGAGCCCAGGUGAUAAACCGCAUCCCAUUUAAGGCCGUCGAGAAGAAGGCUCUAGCGCAGCUCAAAGAGCUGCUCGCCGUGUCAAGACAAAACAAUUGA
rnacentral:rRNA from 1 species